UUUGCUGGUAGUUCGACAGUAACAUCCACGUCAAAAGAUUAGUAUUAUAACUUUUCCAAUUCGAAUGAAUUAAUCUCACGAAACUUUGCUCACGUACUGAAUUGAACAUUACAGACAGAGUCUAAAAUGGAUUCGUUAUUGGAACCCACUUUGUACACCAUCAAAGGAAUGUGUAUUCUAGACAACGAUGGAAACAGAAUAUUGGCCAAGUAUUAUGAUAAAAACGUUUUUCCCACGGUGAAGGAGCAAAAGGCAUAUGAGAAAAACUUAUUCAACAAAACACAUCGUGCAAACGCCGAGAUUAUCAUGCUUGAUGGACUAACCUGUGUCUACAAGAGCAAUGUUGAUCUGUUCUUCUACGUGAUGGGCAGCACACAUGAGAACGAACUGAUUCUUCUAUCGGUAUUGAAUUGCCUGUUUGACACAGUUACUAUGAUUUUGAAGAAAAACGUUGAGAAGCGAGCGGUGUUGGAAAACUUGGACAUAGUCAUGCUAGCGUUCGACGAGAUUUGCGAUGGAGGAAUAAUUCUGGAUGCUGAUCCUUCAUCUGUAGUAAAACGAGUUGAUUUACGAAACGACGACAUUCCGAUAGGAGAGCAAACUGUUGCACAGGUAACUAAUGCCAUCCAUGGGCUAUUUUGGUGAACAUUGUUCAUCAAACCAUCAUUACUGCACAUCGAUAAUUGUAAUAGACCGAUCAACAUAGAAUACUUUAGUAUAAAGAUUGAUAUUAAACCACGAAUACGUUCUGCAAUCCGCUAAAGAACAAUUAAAAUGGUCUCUGCUAAAAUAACUUCAUAGAAGUCCACCAGUAGUACUUCUAUUCGACCACAAUGACGUUUUCAAAUGCAAUGGUCGUCUACUAAUCGUAAGAUUAUAUUCGUUUUAGAAAUAUUUUACAAUCAUAGCGAAAGAAGAAAUAAAUAUAAUACAAUCUGCAAAUGCA